GAUGAACGCUGGCGGCGUGCUUAACACAUGCAAGUCGAACGAUUGAAGCUGGAGCUUGCUCCGGCCGAUUUAGUGGCGGACGGGUGAGUAACGCGUGGGUAACCUGCCUCAUACAGGGGGAUAGCAGUUGGAAACGACUGGUAAAACCGCAUAAGCGCACGGUAUCGCAUGAUACAGUGUGAAAACACUCCGGUGGUAUGAGAUGGACCCGCGUCUGAUUAGCUAGUUGGUGAGGUAACGGCCCACCAAGGCGACGAUCAGUAGCCGGCCUGAGAGGGUGAACGGCCACAUUGGGACUGAGACACGGCCCAAACUCCUACGGGAGGCAGCAGUGGGGAAUAUUGCACAAUGGGGGAAACCCUGAUGCAGCGACGCCGCGUGAGUGAUGAAGUAUUUCGGUAUGUAAAGCUCUAUCAGCAGGGA
rnacentral:rRNA from 1 species